rnacentral:rRNA from 1 species
GACGUAGGGCGCGAGCGUUGUCCGGAUUUAUUGGGCGUAAAGAGCUCGUAGGCGGCUUGUCGCGUCGUCCGUGAAAACUUGUGGCUUAACCACAGGCUGGCGGUCGAUACGGGCAGGCUGGAGUUCGGUAGGGGAGACUGGAGUUCCUGGUGUAGCGGUGAAAUGCGUAGAUAUCAGGAAGAACAUCGGUGGCGAAGGCGCUCUGCUGGACCAUAACUGACACUCAGGGACGAAAGCUAGGGGAGCGAAUGGG